rnacentral:rRNA from 1 species
GUGCCAGCCGCCGCGGUAAGACGAACCGUGCGAACGUUGUUCGGAAUCACUGGGCUUAAAGGGCGCGUAGGCGGCUGACCAAGUCUGGGGUGAAAUCCUGCAGCUUAACUGUAGAAGUGCCUGGGAUACUGGUCGGCUCGAGGGAGGUAGGGGUCUGUGGAACUGCUGGUGGAGCGGUGAAAUGCGUUGAUAUCAGCAGGAACGCCGGUGGCGAAAGCGACGGACUGGAUCUCUUCUGACGCUGAGGCGCGAAAGCUAGGGGAGCAAACGGGAUUAGAAACCCUAGUAGUCC